rnacentral:rRNA from 1 species
GAGAGUUAAACAGUACGUGAAAUUGUUGAAAGGGAAACGAUUGAAGUCAGUCAUACCAACGGGAAAUCAACCUCUUGAGUUUGGUCUCGUGGGUUUCGAAGAGUUUAAAAGCCUUCGGAUUUUCGAGAUUGGGUUCUUCUGGUGUACUUUCUCGUACGGUUAGUCAACAUCGGUUUUGAAUGUCAUAAAAUGACUGGAGGAAUGUGGCUUCGAUCUCGUAUUGAAGUGUUAUAGCUUUUGGUAGAUGUGAUGUUCGAGACCGAGGAUUGCAACGGAUACCCUUCUGGGCUAUUCGUCUGAUCUCUGAAACGUUGCCUUGAUGUCGAAAGCUUGCUUAUGAUGUUAGGGUAUUACGAUCAAAAGGUUAGAACGGAUUAAAUUCGUUAAGGAUGUUGACGUAAUGACUUUAAACGA